AUCUUUGUAGGGGUUGUUCUAACCAAAUUCAACCUCACACGGCGCAACUAGCCAGGGAGUAAGAAGUGUUGUUUUUAUACUCGUGAAGAGACAAUCAAGCACCUCUUUUCCGAAUGCAAGUUUGCACAUUCUAUGUGGCUAGUCAUCCAAAUAGCGUCAAUUUUGUAUCCGCUCAUAAGUGUCGCCAAUGUUUUUGGUAAUUGGUUGGACGGUAUUCCAAAUAGAUUCAAAACACUAAUACAUGUGGAAGUGUAUGGCUUACUAUAG
rnacentral:rRNA from 1 species